rnacentral:rRNA from 1 species
CAUGGCUCAGGAUGAACGCUGGCGGCGUGCUUAACACAUGCAAGUCGAACGGAGUUUAUGUAGAAUGAGUCUUCGGACAAAUGAAAUAUAAACUUAGUGGCGGACGGGUGAGUAACGUGUGGGUAACCUACCCUAUACAGGAGGAUAACAGUAAGAAAUUAUUGCUAAAACUGCAUAAGAUUACGAGUUCGCAUGAACAAGUGAUAAAAACUUUAGUGGUAUAGGAUGGGCCCGCAUCUGAUUAGGUAGUUGGUGGAGUAAAAGCCUACCAAGCCGACGAUCAGUAGCCGAUCUGAGAGGAUGACCGGCCACAUUGGGACUGAGACACGGCCCAAACUCCUACGG